GCCUGGGUGGCUCAGUCGGUUAAGCGUCCGACCUCAGCUCAGGUCAUGAUCUCGCGGUUCGUGGGUUCGAGCCCCACAUCAGGCU
rfam:Felis catus isolate Cinnamon breed Abyssinian chromosome D3, whole genome shotgun sequence.